GACGAACGCUGGCGGCGUGCUUAACACAUGCAAGUCGAACGGUGAAAGCGGAGCUUGCUCCGCUGGAUCAGUGGCGAACGGGUGAGUAACACGUGGGCAACCUGCCCCUCACUUCGGGAUAACUCCGGGAAACCGGGGCUAAUACCGGAUAUGACCUCCUUGGCAUCCUUGGAGGUGGAAAGUUUUUCGGUGAGGGAUGGGCCCGCGGCCUAUCAGCUUGUUGGUGAGGUAGUGGCUCACCAAGGCGACGACGGGUAGCCGGCCUGGGAGGGCGACCGGCCACACUGGGACUGAGACACGGCCCAGACUCCUACGGGAGGCAGCAGUGGGGAAUAUUGCGCAAUGGGCGAAAGCCUGACGCAGCAACGCCGCGUGCGGGAUGACGGCCUUCGGGUUGUAAACCGCUUUCAGCAGGGAAGAAGCCGCAAGGUGACGGUACCUGCAGAAGAAGCACCGGCUAACUACGUGCCAGCAGCCGCCGUAA
rnacentral:rRNA from 1 species